rnacentral:lncRNA from 1 species
UUGGUGCUGUAUAUAUCCAAUGAACCCCACCUAGAUUUAACCACUAAUGGAUUUUACCUAUUUCAAGGUUGGAAGGUUACCACUUACCAGCAAACUUACAGUGAUAUACCUUGUGAGAGUGGUGAGACUGUUAUGACAGAAAGAGCAAGCAAUGAGCGUGAUUCCCCUGCUAUACACCAAUUUAUAUUCUGUUCCUUUUUCCUCCAACAACCUUUGUACCAAAUUAAGAUAUGAUUCAUAUGAAUGUCGUCUAAUGGGGUGGUUGCUCAAGAGUUUGCAGCAGAUGUAGCCAUAGGCAAGUGGCAUGAUACUAGUGUCUCCCUGAUUCGAGGCUCCAAAUAUCAUCAGGCCAGUAUCUAAGGCUUAAUCGAGUUCCAAAGACCAAUUUAUAUCAAGUAUUUGCAAUCAUCUAAGAAUAUAAGCCUGUAUCUAGCUCUGUAUUUCAUUUCUUUUGUAACGCAGACUCUCACAGGAAGUAGUAAAACUUUAACUAGUUCAUCAGAGCUGGUGUUCUAUGCUGAGGUUGUUUCAUAAAUAGGAGUCGCUAUGAGGAUUAGCGUAGUAAAAUCAAUAGAUAUACAAACAUUAGCUUAUUUUGUAGGGUCCUUAUACUGAUUCUUCCUCAAAAGAGUUCAUUG